rnacentral:rRNA from 1 species
GUCCACGCCCUAAACUAUGUCGACUAGUUGUUGGGGGAGUCUGUCCCUCAGUAACGAAGCUAACGCGUGAAGUCGACCGCCUGGGGAGUACGGUCGCAAGAUUAAAACUCAAAGGAAUUGACGGGGACCCCGCACAAGCGGUGGAUUAUGUGGAUUAAUUCGAUGCAACGCGAAGAACCUUACCUACCCUUGACAUGCCAGGAACCUCGCAGAGAUGUGAGGGUGCCCGAAAGGGAACCUGGACACAGGUGCUGCAUGGCUGUCGU